GGACUGGGAAGCAGUGAAAAGGAUUUUAAGCAGAGGAAUUACAUGAACGGAUUUAUCCUUCAAAAAGGUCACCUUAGGAGAGGUGUGGAAGAGAGACUAGAGGGCUGAAAAUGGAGGCAGAGAAACCUCCUGGCCAGGUGGUGAGUGGCAGAAGUCCUGGUGGGAGUGGGUGGUGUUUAAACAAAGACCUGAAUUAAAACUGAAGGCAAGAGGAGGAGGGGAAAAAUCAAGAAAUGUUAAGAAAGUAGAAUGUGUAGAACUUGGUGAUUUGUUUGAAAGUGUUGGGAGUUGUUGUUAAAUGAUGGUCUCAGAGAUCAUGGAAUAUUUGUCUGGUUUAGCUAAAUAAAUGUUAAAACUAGAAGCCUGUUUCUCAAAUUGGGGUCGCUGUGUCCCCUUAGAGGUCUCAUGCAAACUCUGAGUUGUUUAUGCUGCCUUAUGAGCUGGAUGUAUCUUAGGUUUCAAACAAGUUAUGAUUGCAGCACUACUCAGGUCUUACAAUAAGCCAGACAAGCAAUUCUUUAUUAAAAAUCAUUUGCUACUCCUGCCACCCACCACCCCAAGAUCUUUUUCCUGGCCAUUAUGUGCCUUAUCUCUCUCUACUAGUCAUAAAAUUUGUUGGCCACCCACUGUGUAUUUAUCUCAUCUCCUACCUCUACCCAUCACAGCUUUCUCAUCUUCUGAUUAAAUAGAAGAAUUAGCCUCUUAUUUGAUAAAUCAUUGUAUGGGUGCCUGUGUCUAAGGGUUUCUGAAGUCUAGCAAUAGAACAUCCUCUGCUCGUUGAGAAAACAUGUAGGGUCACCCAUCACCAAGCACUCCACAUGCCAGAGACUGCACUGAAAGAACACUCAAUUCUUUCAUGUAGUUAAAAGAACACAAUGCUUGCCCUCUGAGAGUUCAACAUCUGGAAACAAAUCUAAAGAGGGAGAAACUGGCAAGAAGAAACACAUUAGAAAUAGCAUCUGCCUUAAAUGAUGUACAGUAGGAUUUGGGUUGAGGUGCUGCUCUGGAGUUAUGGCCUGCUGUUAGUAGUCUUGAUAGCUAAAACUAACAUGCUUUUUUCUUGUAAGAUUUCAGAUUGAAUAUAGUGGUUGAGAGCCUGGAUUCUGGGGUCUGACUUCCUGGCUCUGCCACUUCCAUGUGUCACCCUGACCAAACUGUGUCAUCUCUAUGCUUCCCUUCAUUGUGAGAUGAGGAUCAUAAUAGUAUUUACCCUAGGAAUGAGAGGAUUCAAUGGCAUGUGUGUGUGAUGUGCAGCACACCUCCUGACACAGUGUCAGUGCACAAUAAAUACUCGCUGCUGACCCUUCCUGAAGCCAAAAAGAAGCCUCUGAAGGCUCAGCUGAGAAAGGUGUGCUGCAUGAGUACCAAAGAUUGCUGCCUUCUUUCCAAACGAGAGCUGCUAUGGCUAACCCUGAGAUCCUUUGUAGUCAUUUAAUUACAGAGAAAUUCUGGAACAUACUUUCUUCAAGCCAAGUUAGUCUUUUUAGUUUUUAAAUUACAUCUUGAUCGUAUCACACACAAUCAGUUGUCACUUCAGGGCACUUCCAGAAACAAGUUUGCAGGCCAGCAUGUGGCAGGUAACACCUUAGAGGAGACUGGGGCAUCACUGCCUCUCUGAAAUCGUCCAUUGAUAUCAUCCCCUCCCUCCUCCUUUGAGCUCAACACACAUUAAUCAAAUACCACAAUUUUUCAGGUUCUGUAUUAGGCUCCAGGGAUACAAGGGUGAACAGACAAUUCCCAUCCUCAUGAAAUGUGCAAUUGUGUGGAAAUACAUGUGAACAAAUUCAAUCCACUGUGAUGGAAGCCCCAAUGGGAGUGUGUAGAAGGUCAGAAGAGGUACACAGAAAGGACAACAAGGAAGGCUUCACAGAGGUGGUGACAUCUCACUAGGAUUUUGAAGGGAAUAAGAAUGGGGAGAAUCAGAAGAUCAGCACGGUUUGCACAGAGGAACUACAGCAGAGGUGUUUUCGGGGGACAUGGUGGUAGAUGAAAUUGAAGAUGUAGGCAGGAGUUUGAUCAUGUAAGAGCUUGGCCUUUGUCGUGGGAACAUCAGGGGCCAUUGAGGGACUUCAGGUAACAGAAUGCCACAGAUCCACAAUUUUAGCAGGAUCACCCUAGUAUGAAAGACAAACUUGAAAAGGGUUUGCAGAUGCUGGCAGGUUCAUGUCACCACUGCGGAUUCAUUGAGGGCAGAGACAGAGUCCUAUUUAUCUCUGUACCCCUAAAGUUUAGUGCUUUAUAGACAUUUAAGAAUUUUUUUUUUCAGAGUGAAGACAGCCCAAGUUGAAUUUUCCCAUUCUGUAUCCUAUCCUCAGAACAUGCUGACCUGGACUUCCAUCUGUCACAAGCAGCUUGACUAAGAUCCUAGGAAAUUCCUUUUUUUCUUGGCAUUCUUCUAACUGACACUCUCUGUUUACUGGGCCCUCUGUGCAGCUGUAACGUGUGAUGAUUGAUGCUUAUAAUUCUGACCUUGAAGUACUUCAUGGCUUCUAAAUCAUCAAAAAAAGAUUAAAGCAUAUUCUCAGUAUCACUGUAAUGUUUGUGUGUUUUACUGCCUUCUUCUCUGGAAAGUGGUGGUUUAUGAAGUGCCCGUGCGCUUGUGUGCACACGGACACAGUGAGAGUCUGUGAUGGUCCUCAACUCUUCUCCCACAGGGAGGCUAUGGUGCAUGCUUGAAAAUAAACAAACAAAAUAACCUGGGUUCUCUUCAUGCCUAGCAGGAGGAAGCAGCUUGGUCUCAGGGGCAAAGAAGCUUGAAAUGAGAGCGAAAGCAGUGGUUAGGAAAGCAGAGGGAAUGAUGAGGCAGAACUGGUGCAGACCAGGAGUCAGGCAGUUUACGAGCCAGCCCUGGCUGGCUGCAUUCUGACCCCAGGAAGAGCAAAGCCCAGGGUCGGGACUGCAGCUUCAUGUUCUGUGUGCCUGGACCCAAAUCAUCAGGCUUGGAUUUGGCGGGAUUCUCCACCAGCUAUAUUUGUAUCUCGGUAACAACCGCUCAGUAAAAUGCCAGACAUUAGGCAAGUGAAAACAUCAAUAAUUAGAGCCUCCUGUUCCCCACACAUCUUUUCUUGAAAACCUUUAUUGCUGCAGAGCUGACAUUAUUAGGCACAGAAUGAAGAACUCCAAAUAGAAACUGUGAAAUGGCUCCAUCUUAUAACCUGAGUCCUGAAAAAUAAGGGUGUGAUGUUGUCACUAGGCGGGAGAUUUGUUUAGGUUUUCUUUUUUUCUUUUCUUUUUCUUUUUUUUUGAGAUGGAGUCUCGCUCUGUCGCCCAGGCUGGAGUGCAGUGGCGAGAUCUCGGCUCACUGCAACCUCCACCUCCCGGGUUCAAGUGAUUCUCCUGCCUCAGCCUCCCAAGUAACUGGGACUACAGGUGCCCGCCACCACACCUAGCUAAUUUUUUGUAUUUUUAGUAGAGACGGGGUUUCACUGUGUUAGCCAGGAUGGUCUCGAUCUCCUGACCUCGUGAUAUACCCGCCUUGGCUUCCCAAAGUGCUGGGAUUACAGGCAUGAGCCACCACGCCUGGCCCUUGUUUAGGUUUUCUUUGGGGACCGUAUAUUGCAGUAAAUAGAAAUACCCCUUCCAUUUUGUUGUAGAAAUUUGUUUUUAAAAUCUGUGUUUGGUCUACACUCGUCAUCCCAGCCUAAAGAGCCAGUCCCUGAACCACAGAAGUUCUGUUUGCCGCCUCUCAGCCAGGGCAUGUGUGGGCUUUACAGGCAGCUUUACCACUUGCCAGUUCUGUGAAUUUGGGCAAAUGUUUUAGACUCUUUGGGUCUUAGUUUUGUUUUUUUAAUCUGAAAUAUUGGAAUAAUGCAGAUUCCUUAUUUUACAGCGUUGCUGUGAGGCUGAAAUAAAAUGGUGGAUGUGGAAAUGCUCAACUAGAAGACCCUAUCUAUAUCAAUAAUAGUAUAUUAAAUAUACUAAAGAACAUCAUAAAUAUCCUAACAAAAAUAGAAAUAUAUUUCAUCUGCAAACAUGACAUCCUCCAAAAUUGUCCCAAAGUAGAGUAGGGAAAUGAACUAUUUAUUGAAUCUCUACCUUAGGGGAGGUGUUCCAGCUAUCACUUUAUCUGUUCUGCAAAGUAGAUCUUAAAUCCCACUUUUAGACACAAGGAAACUGAGACUCCUAGUCACAGCAGAAGUGGGAUUUGAACCUGACUCGAGAACUUAAUGCUCCUUCUCCUUGGCUACAUUAUCUCGUUGUCUAGUUCCAGACCCCCAGUGUUCUUAAAAGCUUUGACAUUCUUUGGUGCUGGGAAGUGUGCCAGCCAUUUCUUGGUCAUUCACUCCUGUAAGUGGGGCAGGGUGGCACCCAGAGGGAACUGGAGCACCAGGUGCCCCCAGAGAGACCAGCAGCACGGAGUCGUCCAGUGUGUGGGACAGGCCCUCCGUUGGCGUUCCACUUUUAGGGAGUUGGCCUGGCAUGGACAGAAAGCCAGGCAACAGCUGUGCCACAUUUCCUAGCCCUUGAGAAAAUGGCUACGGCCCUGUCGUUUUCAGAAGUUCAUUCUUUUUCUGUCAAAGUGAAGCCACCCUUCCUCAGGACUCCUCUCAGCAAUCAGUGCCUCUUGUGUAUUCUGACCGGCCCCUUAUUCUGUUUGUAGAGGGAGUGAGAUUAGAUUUAUUCUAUGUAGUAACCACUCCACUAAGCUUUUCUGCGACUCUUCCUGUUAGCUUUGAUGCCGGGCAUUGGGGGAAAGGGUUCCCAAUGUGGCAGUUCCUUAAGUGCCCGGUGGGACCCACUGCUGCAUACAUUUUCUUCUUUAUAUCCUUCCCUGAUUCCCAGGCAAACAGAGUCGGCUUGUGAACUGGAGCUGCCCACCCAGAGAACCAGAGAUAAUGCCUGUUGAAGGGCCAAGUUGCAUAUUCAGCGAGGAUGUCAGUGUGUGGGAGAAGCAUUUGUUCAGCCUGCGGUUCUGAGAGGAACUGUGUGUUGUGUUCCCAUAGGUUCUCAACAGGAGGUGUGUAGAAGCGGCGGUGAUGACAGGCCUGGCUCUGAACUGCCACAUAAACAAGAAGUCCUUGUUUGACAGGAAGCACUACUUCUAUGCAGACCUCCCUGCAGGCUACCAAAUUACCCAGCAGAGGCUCCCAAUUGCUGUGAAUGGGAGCUUGAUAUAUGGCGUCUGUGCAGGGAAGAAGCAGAGUCAGGUGAUCCCCAAGACGGUGAGGAUCAAGCAGAUCCAGUUGGAGCAAGACAGUGGCAAAAGCCUCCACGACAACCUGAGGUCUCAGACGCUCAUUGAUUUGAACAGGGCAGGAGUGGGCCUUCUGGAGGUGGUCCUGGAGCCCGACAUGUCCUGUGGAGAAGAGGCGGCAACAGCUGUCAGGGAGCUGCAGCUGAUCCUUCAAGCCCUGGGGACCAGCCAGGCGAACAUGGCAGAGGGCCAGUUGAGAGUGGAUGCCAAUAUAUCCGUGCAUCACCCUGGGGAGCCUUUGGGCGUUCGAACGGAAGUGAAGAAUCUCAACAGCAUCAGGUUCCUGGCCAAAGCCAUAGACUAUGAAAUUCAGAGGCAAAUCAAUGAACUUGAGAAUGGAGGUGAAAUUCUGAACGAAACACGCUCAUUUCAUCACAAGCUGGGGUGCACCAUGUCAAUGAGAGACAAAGAAGGAAAACAGGACUACAGGUGCAGACCCACAGCAAGUGAUCAAUAUUGACCAGAUUCGGGAGACACUCCCGGAGCUCCCCAGUGUGACCCGAGAGAAGCUUGUCCAACAGUAUGGGAUGCUGCUGGAACACAGCUUCACUUUGCUGAACGAAGUCGGCCUACUGGAGUUCUUCCAAAAUGUGAUAAAAGAAACUAGGGCAGAGCCAAAAAAGGUGACUAGUUGGGUCCUCAACACUUUUCUGGGCUAUUUAAAGCAACAGAACCUCGCUGUCAGUGAGAGUCCUGUCACACCCUCUGCACUCGCUGAGCUUCUUGACCUGCUGGACAGCAGAACAAUUUCUUCAUCAGCAGCUAAACAGGUGUUUGAGGAACUGUGGAAGAGGGAAGGCAAGACUCCAGGGCAGAUUGUUUCAGAAAAGCAGCUUGAACUGAUGCAGGACCAGGGGGCACUGGAGCAGCUCUGCCACUCUGUGAUGGAGGCCCAUCCUCAAGUGGUAAUGGAUGUGAAGAACAGAAACCCCAGAGCUAUAAAUAAACUGAUUGGGUUGGUCCGGAAAGCGACUCAAAGCCGAGCAGAUCCAGUCAUGAUAAAGGAGAUCCUGGAGAAGAAGCUGUCAUUGUGAGAUGUUUGGGAUCCCCUUGCCCAAGGGACAACAGUGCAGCCUGACUGGGAACAGGAUCCCGUGAAAGCUGAUGCCCAUGUGCCCUGAGAGCUGCCUCUCAAUCCCUGUCCCGAGCCACAGCUAUGGCGUUAAUGUCACCAGUGUUCUCACCCUCUAGGCCCUGUGCCUGGAGGUGCCUCCACAGCCGACCAGCAGCCACCCCGCCUGCUUCAUGCACAUCAGGAGGGUCCGGUGAGGCUGCAGCAGUGGUUAAGGAGUAACACCUUCUUGUAUUAAGGAAUUUUAAACUAAAUAAAAUGUAUGUUGGAGAUACUGUUA
rnacentral:sRNA from 1 species